GCCGGGGUAGCUCAGUUGGUAGAGCGACGAACUUGUAAUUCGUAGGCCAGGGGUUCGAUUCCCCUCCCCGGCU
rnacentral:tRNA from 1 species